rnacentral:rRNA from 1 species
AAUGGGUCAGCGACUUAUAUUCUGUAGCAAGGUUAACCGAAUAGGGGAGCCGAAGGGAAACCGAGUCUUAACUGGGCGUUAAGUUGCAGGGUAUAGACCCGAAACCCGGUGAUCUAGCCAUGGGCAGGUUGAAGGUUGGGUAACACUAACUGGAGGACCGAACCGACUAAUGUUGAAAAAUUAGCGGAUGACUUGUGGCUGGGGGUGAAAGGCCAAUCAAACCGGGAGAUAGCUGGUUCUCCCCGAAAGCUAUUUAGGUAGCGCCUCGUGAAUUCAUCUCCGGGGGUAGAGCACUGUUUCGGCAAGGGGGUCAUCCCGACUUACCAACCCGAUGCAAACUGCGAAUACCGGAGAAUGUUAUCACGGGAGACACACGGCGGGUGCUAACGUCCGUCGUGAAGAGGGAAACAACCCAGACCGCCAGCUAAGGUCCCAAAGUCAUGGUUAAGUGGGAAACGAUGUGGGAAGGCCCAGACAGCCAGGAUGUUGGCUUAGAAGCAGCCAUCAUUUAAAGAAAGCGUAAUAGCUCACUGGUCGAGUCGGCCUGCGCGGAAGAUGUAACGGGGCUAAACCAU